rnacentral:lncRNA from 1 species
CCGAGAGAAGAAAAGCAGGUGGAAGGAGAGGAAGCGGAUGCCGUGGGGUUUACAGCAGGAAAAUCCGUGGAGACAGCAGAUCCGAGAAGCGGCGAUGUUUGCGUAGAACCCUGUACGUGCUUCCUUCGGCCUGUCGCUCUUCCCUUCUCUCUGACCAGCACCAUGCUUCUCCUGGUGACAAGCCUUCUGCUCUGUGAGUUACCACACCCAGCAUUCCUCCUGAUCCCAGAGAAAUCGGAUCUGCGAACAGUGGCACCAGCCUCUAGUCUCAAUGUGAGGUUUGACUCCAGGACGAUGAAUUUAAGCUGGGACUGCCAAGAAAACACAACCUUCAGCAAGUGUUUCUUAACUGACAAGAAGAACAGAGUCGUGGAACCCAGGAUGGAGUUUCCCUCUUGUUGCCCAGAUCGCACCAUUGCACACCAACCUGCGUGACAGAGCAAGAUUGCAUCUCAAAACAAACAAUAAUAAUAAAUAAUAAAAACCUGA